UCGCGCUUGGUUGAAAAGCCAG
rnacentral:snRNA from 1 species